rnacentral:lncRNA from 1 species
ACUUUCCCUGUUCUCUAAUGUAAAAACACUCAGAUCCCUCUUGUUGCGCCUAUCUAAGCUUGACACACCUCACCCAAUCCCUUGGCAUAAGCAUGUAUCAAAACUUGCAUUAAAAACCAGAACAGUGGGGUCCAAAUACACAAUCAUGUCGUCUGUCACUCGGGUGACUAGUAAUAUCUGGGUUGAUUUAGCUAGUUCGGCUGCUGAAACCCCAUCCCUGGGCAUCCCAACAACUAGAUCAUGCUCUAAGGCGUACCCCG